GCCUACCGCUGGCUGCUCUCUUAACACCUUCCCUGCGAGCGAGAACCGGGCCUUCGUUCCCUGGGAAAGCUGCCAACGGGUGAGUAACACGUGGGUAACCUGCACUCGGCACCGUUGUAGCCCGGGGAAACCCGGAUUAAUACCGGAUAGCCUGCUGACGCUUCGGGCCCCUUCGCAAAGGUGGCUUAAGCCUCCGGCCGCGGAGGGGCCUGCGGCGGAUUAGCUUGGUGGUGGGGUAACGGCCCACCGAGGCGACGAUCCGUAGCUGGUCUGAGAGGACGAUCAGCCACACUGGGACUGAGACACGGCCCAGACUCCUACGGGAGGCAGCAGUGGGGAAUCUUGCGCAAUGGGCGAAAGCCUGACGCAGCGACGCCGCGUGCGGGAAGAAGGCCUUCGGGUUGUAAACCGCUUUCAGGAGGGACGAAGCCACUCGGGUGAAUAGCCCAGAGGGUGACGGUACUUCCAGAAGAAGCCAAGGAGAACUACGUGCCAGCAGCCGCCGUAAAAC
rnacentral:rRNA from 1 species